GCUGGACACGGUGGUGCACGCCUAUAAUCCCAGCAGCUGGGAGGCUGAGACAGGAGGAUCUUGAGUUCAAAGCUAGCCUGAGCAAUGGCGAAGCACUAAGCAACUCAGACCCUGUCUCUA
rnacentral:sRNA from 1 species